AAUUCGGUCCGGGCCUGUAACUGCGAGUCAGAUUCGACCGGAGCGACCGGAAAUGAAGGGCUGACGGACCGAAAGUCCACCGGAGAGUGCGGUAUCGAUCGGAAACGAAUGGGCAACGUACCGGAAAUCGAUCGCAGCUUGCAGUAUCGACCGGGAACGAGGGCUCAACGCAACGAAAGUCAACAAAACCAGUGCCGACCGGAAAUGAAGGGGCAACGUACCCAAAGGUAGCCUCCAGGUAAAUGAAAUUUAUCUUCGCUGGGCUUUAUGGUGAAACCACCAGUUACAGACAACCCCAAAAAUGUGUUAUAGACACCCUUCGUCUAAAUAUGGCAAUAAUAAGAAAGAAGUGACUCGGUUCUUUGUGUUGUUGUUUUUAAUUCAACCCACAUUCUCAAGUGAUCAUUUGAAAUCCAAGUUCGGCAACAGUGAACUCAACCAAAGAUGAGAGAUUGAAGGUUAAAAGAUGGCUAUUAGAAACCACAACAAAAUGGAGAAGGUUCUAACCUAACCUCUCAAGAGACCUGUGAUCACUGCUAGUGUUGUGGCAACAAAUCAGGGAGCUUCCAAGAUAUCACGCAAAAGGCGACAAAAUAAUGCUAGAAAGAAGCCAGUUAAGCAGAAAAGGCAUGUUACUAAAAAACUACAAUAUCCUGAAUCAGCGAUGGAGGAGGCGCUCAAGGCUGUGCGGGAAGGGAUGUCCAUCAAGAGGGCUACGAGGGAACAUGAGGUCCCUCGGAUCACCUUGCUCAACAAAUAUGAUGGAAAAUAUCCGGAGGGUAGGAAAAUGGGUCCCGAGUGUAUUUUGACGGAUCCGGAUGAAAACAGAAUAGAGGACUGGCUUAAAAAAAUGGCACGCGCUGGUUUCCCCAUAACAAAAAGUGUCCUUUUUAGCUGCAUUAGCAAGUACAUCAAAGAAAAGGGAUUGGCUAACCCUUCCAAAAAUGACUUACCAGGAAAAUCUUGGUAUGCAGGUUUUCUUCGUAGGCACCCUAAUUUGAUCAUCCGAACGCCUCAAAAUUUAACAAGCUCUCGAGGAGCAGUGACUAAAGCUCAAAUCACUGCGUGGAGCCAUGAAGUCCAAGCAUAUUUGACAGAACAUGGAAACAUGGAGAUUUUUGAGGACCCUAACCGAGUUUUCAACUGCGACGAGGCUGCAUUUUUCUCUGUCCGAAAGGCGAACUUGUUAUUGUACCGCGUAGUAAUAAAAGUAUUUAUCGUGCAGUAAAUUCCGAUGAAAAAGAAUGUAUAACUGUUUUAAUGACAGGAAAUUCUGGUGGCAUGAUUGCUCUUCCUCUUGUUUUGUUUAGUUACGAAAGACUCCCAAAAGACCUGGUUGAAUCGGUCCCAAAAGAGUGGGGUUUAGGGAAAUCGUCAUCUGGUUGGAUGACGCAUGAAACCUUUUACGAGCAUAUUGCAAAUGUGUUUCAUCCAUGGCUUAUCGCAUCAAAAAUACCUUUGCCGGUUAUACUGUUUGUAGACGGCCACUCGUCACAUCUAUCACUCCCCAUAAGUCAAUUUUGCCAAGAGAAAGGAAUAAUUUUAAUUUGCUUCUACCCCAAUGCUACUCAUCUCCUACAACCUAUGGACGUAGCAAUUUUUAGACCUUUAAAGAAGUCCUUUAAGGAAGCAGUUACUGCAUUCAGACUUGCAAAUAGUAGUACUGAAUUUAAAAAAAUUCACUUUGCGAAGGUCCUUCAGACUGCCGUCAACUCAUCUGUCACACCAAAGAUUCUGCAAAAUGGUUUUCGUAAGUGUGGACUGGUGCCUUAGGAUAUCUCACAAGUUGACUUCAAUAAAAUUCCAUGCUCUUUAACAGCUGAUGAUGCUGAAACUACUAAUGAUACGAGCGAGCUGGAGAGUGAGAAAAUUAACAGCAAUUGUGAUGAUUUCUUUAAUUCUUUUGAGUCAAAUAUCACUCCUGAAACCCUUGCAAAUUUUAAAUGUCACGAAAGA